GGGGCUGGUUUGUGGACGCAAGACUUGCAAAUUCGGUCAGGUCCGGAAGGAAGCAGCCGUCGCAAGAUCCUUGCGGGUCAUGGAAUCAGUUCCUCA
rnacentral:SRP_RNA from 1 species